AGAGUCAGGGAGACUACGCUAGUCUCAGGAAUGGCAAAGAAAAGCACAGUUCAUCAAAACAAAAGCCACUGCGCAGUCGCCGCCCACUCAUAACAGGAGUGUUCAGAUCACAAUGACUGAAAACAGCAGCGUGUAGGACAGUUACACACCUUUAUCCCCCUCCACGGGCACAGCAGGUAAAGGGAGUUUGUGGAGGAAAAUGGCCAAUGCCAGGGUCUUGUCCUCAAUGGCCACAACUGGUACAGGGGCAAGCUCACCUUCAGAAAAUGUGGUCUUCUAGCCCUGAGGAUCACAGACAAUAGAACGGACACCUGCAUGCAGAGGCUUCUGGGAAUCACAGAAUGGUCAGAAUUCUCCAUGCUAUAAGUGGGAGGGAAGAUGCUCAGGGUCUAACAUCAUUAUCACUGGAACAGGUGUGUGCCCCAGCCACAGGGCCAUUGAACAGUGGGCCCAGGCGGACACAAGGAGAGGCGAUCUUGAGAUUGUACCUAUGUGAAGAUCCUGGGAUUCGGUAGAAUUCUAGAGGGUUCCUUCUGAUUUCAUCAUUUCUCUGUUGUUCCUGCUUUCCUUCCUCUCCCCAGUGUGGCCAGAAGCCAAGUGAGCGGACGCAAUUGCUCACAUCUAACCUCUAGGAGGACCGCCAUGUUAUCUGUAAGGCUUCAAGGACUCCAAAACUUGAAUUACCUCUGUGGCUCUCGGGAUGACUUGUGCAUCUGUGGGUAGCUGAGUAUAAAGUUUCAUUUU
rnacentral:lncRNA from 1 species